rnacentral:rRNA from 1 species
GUGGGGAAUAUUGGACAAUGGGCGAAAGCCUGAUCCAACCAUGCCGCGUGUGUGAAGAAGGUCUUCGGAUUGUAAAGCACUUUAAGUUGGGAGGAAGGGCAGUAAGUUAAUACCUUGCUGUUUUGACGUUACCGACAGAAUAAGCACCGGCUAACUUCGUGCCAGCAGCCGCGGUAAUACGAAGGGUGCAAGCGUUAAUCGGAAUUACUGGGCGUAAAGCGCGCGUAGGUGGUUUUGUAAGUUGGAGGUGAAAUCCCCGGGCUCAACCUGGGAACUGCCUCCAAAACUGCAUGACUAGAGUACGGUAGAGGGUAGUGGAAUUUCCUGUGUAGCGGUGAAAUGCGUAGAUAUAGGAAGGAACACCAGUGGCGAAGGCGACUACCUGGACUGAUACUGACACUGAGGUGCGAAAGCGUGGGGAGCAAACAGGAUUAGAUACCCUUGUAGUCC